rnacentral:lncRNA from 1 species
UCUCCUUUGUCUCAUUAUAAAAUUACCAAAAUACCCCCCACUCUCUCUCUCAUCUAUCUUCUCUCUCGUUUUUUUGAGUUUUUUGUAUUUGUUUCUUGUUUUAUUUUAUUUUAUUCAGUUUUUUUUAUUUUGUUUCUUUUUUUACUAUUAAUUUUUUUUCAGUUUUUUUUUCUUAUUUAAAAAAUAAAAGGGUAUUAAAAGAAAAAAAAAGUAACAAAAAAAAAAAUAUAAAACUGAAAAAAAAAUAAAUUUUAGUUGUAUAUUUUGGUGAGACAUAUUAAAUCUUUGUAUUAAAAAAUAAAUCUUUUAACAACAAAAAAAAUCCCCUUUUAAAUCCUUUUAAAAGGAUUUAUCAAAAGGAUUUAUAAUCCUUUAUUAUAAUCCUUUUAAAAUCCUUCUUUUUUAUCAAAACUGAUAUAAAACAAAAUAAAAUAAUGAAAAAAAUUAUUUUAUUAUUUAUUUCUUUUAUAAAAUUGUUAUUUUAUUGAUAUAAGUAAAAAUUUGAAAAAAUAACUUUUUUUUUUUUAAAAGUAAAAUAAAUCAUGUUUAAAUUAGAGAAGCCAAAAAAAACUAAAAAAAACCUGUUAUUUUACUAUUAUUUUAUAAAAAAAAAUAAUAAAAAAAAAAUAACAAAAAAGGGAUUUUAUUAUUAGUAAAAAAAAACAAAAAGGGGAUCUAUAAAACAAAAAAACAUAUUUUUACCAUACCAACCUUUUAUUAAUUAUUUGUUUUAAAAGUAACAAAAAGAAAAUUCUAUAAAACAAAAAAACUGUUAUUUUACUAUUAUUUUACAAAAAAAAAACAGGAUUUAUUUUACUAUUAUUUUACUAUUAUUUUAUAAAAAAAUUAAAAAAUUGAAAAAAAUAGUAAAAAAAGAAACAAAAUAAAAUAAAUAAAAUAAAAUAAAUACAAAAAACUCAAGAAAUGAGAGAGAGAGAGAGAGUGUGUGGGGGCAUUUUGGUAAUUUCAUAAAGAAACAAAGGAGGGAGGUGGUGUCUAGAGGUGGGAGGAUAUUCUCUCAAAUCUUAGGAGAAGUAAUUGUAAUUUUUUAAACGUUAGUAAUACUUUGUGUAUUAAAGGCAAACUUCAAUGGAGGUCAAUGUCAUUCACCCUAUAACUUAAAACUCCAAGCGAUGUGGGGACCGAUGCCAUGUGGGCAACUUGGGCCCACGCCACCCGGGAACUUUCCAAUCGUUGUUCCGUUCCUUAAUCCCACCAUAUUCACCACCAACCUCCUCCUCUGGCAAGCCCUUUACCGCCGGCAUUAUGUUCACCACCACCCAGUGGGCCCAUGGCACGAUGUGCCCGUCCGGGUCCGACGCAUCUAUGUCUUGUACCACCAGGGCCAGGCUUUGAGUCCCUCUGGGAUGUUGUACCACUCCAGCGGCGGUGAAGGUUCUUCUUGGUUCCCUGGCCAUCGCCGGUGUACUUAUGGGGAAGCUUUCCGCCGUGGUGGAUGGUCGGAGACAUCAACCUGAACUCAUCACUCGGAUUUGCCAUAGAAUAAUUGGUUUUGGAAAGUUUUAUUUUUUAUUUCUGAUUUGAAGUAAUGCGUUUGGCGAUUUUCCUAUGAGUUUGUGUUGUGGCUACACGUGGAAAGCCGUGGUGUGUUUUGGGCACAAGUGAAGUCAACUGUUGAUUAUCCAUUGUUGUUCCGUAUGGUGAUAUUUAGGAGUUCCACCGAUCAACUAGUAACUAUCAUAUUAAUAUAGAUGAUUCAUUACGUAAAUAUAAUAAUUUAUAAUUAAAUUAUAAUACCAUAUAAUAAUGAUGACGUGUCUCAUCGUUGUAAUUUUUUUUCCGUAUGUUAGCUCUAGUAAAAAAAAUUCAUUGCAGUAAUACCACAUCGUCAACCAUUCAAUAAGAAGCCUUAGUGUUAUUAUUGAUACUAUCACCUUGUGAUUAUUUGAUUACAUAUUAAUAAGAUUUGUUUCCUAAAAUUGCAUCUAGGGUUUUCCCCCCAACGAAGAGAGAAGUGAGAAAUGAGGUUUUUUUAUUUUUUAACACGUGUUAGUAUUCUAGGAUACCACCUAUGCAUGUAGGAAUUCCUUGUGUGAAAACUUUGUCCGAGAAAUUGCAAUUUGUCUCUUCAAAGUAUUGAGCAAUUUUUACUUUUUCUCCUAACUAAUAUUUUUUUAACCCUAGUGUCUGACUUCUAUCUAAUUUCUAACUGAAUAUUACAUGCGUAUACAUUGCCAAUGUGGCAAACAGCUCCAUACCCAUUUACCCUUAUCCUAACUCUAAUUCCUAAAUCCUAACACUCAUUUACCAUUACUCUAGCACAACAUAACCGACAUCAUAUCGAGAGAUAGAGAUAGAGAUAGAGAUAGAGAUAGAAAAAGAGAGACCACCACCACACCGCUGUACAAACCACCACCAUCGCUACCACCACCACCACUGCACUAAUUAUACCAUCGCUAGUGCCACUAUUGCUAUAAAAAAUUCACCACCACUGCACAAAACAAAGAGAGAGAAAGAGAGAGAGAUUAGGACCAGAUGA